GGGCAGAGGAAGAACGGCACUUCUGACAUCAGAGGCUCCAGCUGAAAGGUUCCAAAUCUAGGAGCUGGAGUCCAUGACUCACAGGAAGAGAAGAUUAAGACACAGAGAUACCAGAGAGGUCGUUCACAGAGGAAAGACCAUGUGAAGACGCAGUGAGAAGGUGGCCAUAUUCAAGCUGAGGAGAGAGACCUCAGAAGAAACCAAUACUGCCAACGCCUUGGUCUUGGACUUCCAGCCUCCAGAACUGUCCUGGAUCAGAAGAUGCCUGACAAGAGGCCACUAUCAGCAGCAACAGCACAGUGGGGACAAACCUGAGACCUUGAUGGACCGUGGACACCAGCAGGAGAGACAGAGGAACUUGAAGUCUAAAUGGGCAGACAAGACCAACAUACACAAAGCAGAGAGUGGCACAAGAGCCAUGUCUGAUGCAACAGUGACUCAGGAGGAUCACUCUGACUCAGAAUGGCCAAGCAAAGGUAUUGGGAGGAAGUGGGAUAGAACUGAGCUUUGAAGACCGUGCUAAAAUAUUUACAGACUCCCCAGGUUAUCUCAAGUUCUCUCCAGGAAUUAGCUUCACCUCUUUGUGCUUUGGCUCCACAUCAGUUAAAUAGUGGUAACGUUUGAUCGUUAAGAACCAUGUAGAGAUGAAACAAUUUUCAAAGUUUUUUAAUUAAGUGUACUCAUUGCCACUCAAAGACAAAUACCAUAUAAAUAUAAUAAUAAUCAUAUUGAGAAACAAAAUAGCAAUGAUGCAGAUACUCAUGUACUGUUUCAUGUUUGUGGUCUUUGAGGGGAGUUUUUACUCAAAUAUCCCUAGAUGAAUAAAUACAUAUGGUC
rnacentral:lncRNA from 10 species